UGGGGAAUAUUGGACAAUGGGGGCAACCCUGAUCCAGCAAUGCCGCGUGUGUGAAGAAGGUCUUCGGAUUGUAAAGCACUUUCGACGGGGACGAUGAUGACGGUACCCGUAGAAGAAGCCCCGGCUAACUUCGUGCCAGCAGCCGCGGUAAUACGAAGAGGGCUAGCGUUGCUCGGAAUGACUGGGCGUAAAGGGCGUGUAGGCGGUUUACACAGUCAGAUGUGAAAUCCCCGGGCUUAACCUGGGAGCUG
rnacentral:rRNA from 1 species